rnacentral:rRNA from 1 species
AACGAACGCUGGCGGCAGGCUUAACACAUGCAAGUCGAACGCCCCGCAAGGGGAGUGGCAGACGGGUGAGUAACGCGUGGGAAUCUACCGUACCCUACGGAACAACAGUUGGAAACGACUGCUAAUACCGUAUACGCCCUACGGGGGAAAGAUUUAUGCGGGGUAUGAUGAGCCCGCGUUGGAUUAGCUGGUUGGUGGGGUAAAGGCCUACCAAGGCGACGAUCCAUAGCUGGUCUGAGAGGAUGAUCAGCCACAUUGGGACUGAGACACGGCCCACACUCCGACGGGAGGAAGCAGUGGGGAAGAUGGGACAAUGGGCGCAAGCCUGAUACAGCCAUGCCGCGUGAGUGAGGAAGGUCUUAGGAUUGUAAAGCUCUUUCACCGAUGAAGAUAAUGACGGGAGUCGGAGAAGAAGCCACGGCUAACUUCGUGCCAGCAGCCGCCGUAAAAC